rnacentral:misc_RNA from 1 species
UGAUAUCAGGGAUGCUUUCUGU